UUCUGAUUGAAUGAUGAUUGUCGCGUGUCACGUUCUGAUUGGACGUUGAUAACAACAAUACAUUUUCAUCCUCCAUAGAGUUAACAUCCAAUCAGAACGUGACACGUGAUCGUCAUCGUCC
rfam:Glycine soja cultivar W05 scaffold975_118, whole genome shotgun sequence.